rnacentral:sRNA from 1 species
AUCGCUGCUAAUCUAUCACUGCCAACCUAUCUACCGCGGCGAAUCUAUCUAUCGCUGCCAAUUUAUCUACCACUGCCAAUCUAUCUAUCGCUGCCAAUCUAUCGCUGCUAAUCUAUCGCUGCUAAUCUAUCACUGCUAAUCUAUCGCUGCCAAUCUAUCGCUGCUAAUCUAUCGCUGCUAAUCUAUCACUGCUAAUCUAUCGCUGCCAAUCUAUCGCUGCUAAUCUAUCGCUGCCAACCUAUCUACCGCGGCGAAUCUAUCUAUCGCUGCCAAUUUAUCUACCACUGCCAAUCUAUCUAUCGCUGCUAAUCUAUCGCUGCUAAUCUAUCGCUGCUAAUCUAUCGCUGCUGCCAAUCUAUCUAUCGCUGCUAAUCUAUCGCCGCUGCCAAUCUAUCCCUCGCUGCUAAGCUAUCCCUCACUGCUAAGCUAUCACUGCCAAUCUAUCGCUGCUAAUCUAUCGCUGCCAACCUAUCUACCGCGGCGAAUCUAUCUAUCGCUGCCAAUUUAUCUACCACUGCCAAUCUAUCUAUCGCUGCCAAUCUAUCGCUGCUAAUCUAUCGCUGCUAAUCUAUCACUGCUAAUCUAUCGCUGCUAAUCUAUCGCUGCUAAUCUAUCGCUGCCAACCUAUCUACCGCGGCGAAUCUAUCUAUCACUAUCAUUACUAGUUCAAAAUAGAACUUAGAGCAUAAACACACUAAACUUCUUUUGAUAGGUAAUGAUUUUUGGUAACGCUCAUAGCAUUAUAUCAUCUAUAUAGGGUAAAUCAUGGUCCCAUUCGGUCCCAUUUUAACAAAAUGGGACCAAAUGGGACCAGAAUCAGUAAUUUAUAAGAAGAACAUGACCUGAGACUAGAUUUAUAAUAUAAACAGUGUAAAGUGACUAAUUUAAUAAACACUAUAUGGGACC